rnacentral:rRNA from 1 species
UACGGAGGGUGCGAGCGUUGUCCGGAUUUACUGGGCGUAAAGCGCACGUAGGCGGCUUUGUAAGUCAGAGGUGAAAGCCUGGAGCUUAACUCCAGAACUGCCUUUGAGACUGCAUCGCUCGAAUCCGGGAGAGGUGAGUGGAAUUCCGAGUGUAGAGGUGAAAUUCGUAGAUAUUCGGAAGAACACCAGUGGCGAAGGCGGCUCACUGGACCGGCAUUGACGCUGAGGUGCGAAAGCGUGGGGAGCAAACAGG